rfam:Pseudozyma antarctica DNA, scaffold: scaffold_v10062, strain JCM 10317, whole genome shotgun sequence.
AUCUGCGGCCAUAGAACCUUGAAAGCACCGCAUCCCGUCCGAUCUGCGAAGUUAAGCAAGGUAUCGCCUAGUCAGUACUGCGGUGGGGGACCA